UGUAGACAAAUAGGUUAUGGGAAACUUCUCAACCCCUCCUCUCUCUCCCCAGCUGACUCUCGCCCACUCUCUCGCGCUUAUACAGUCUCUUACUCUCUCGUGUGCGUGGACUAUGCCUCUGCAAGUACCAGAGCAACCGAAGCACGCGUAAUGAACUGAGUAUUAGCGGCAAUUUUAAACGAAGUACUCGCUAUGGACGCCGGCAGGUUAGUGAGACAACCUUUUGCACAGCGGGAAUUGAUACCGAUCGCCUUGACCGCGAGGUUAUUUGAAAGACAUUUGGAGAGAGAGCUGGGAAACUGACAGUAACUUACCACAGGAGGAGAAAACGGCAAAACGGGGUUGGCUACUUUAUCCCCCAAUAAAACCUGCGUAAGGAGAAAACAUGGGAGAUGUCCAGGACACGGCGGACUAUCCGCUAAUCUCAGGAGUAGAGGUGGACUGCGGCCCACGAACGACCACUCCAGUACAUCCUUGCCUUCCCGAGUCGACUAUCCGAGGACAGGAGAUCAAGAUACAAUACCCAGAGUGCACCUCUGCCGUUUAUUCAGCAUUGUCUGGUCAGACUGACACCAUCAGUUUCUUUGUUCUAAGGUCAUCAGGACAAUUUUGCCCAGUCCUACAUACCUGGAGCCCAGUCCAUCUGCACAGUGGAAAUUGGAAGGACAAGCGAAGUCACUAUGGAUUGUAUGAUUUACUCUGUUUCCCUUGUAUAAAUCUUUAGGCUGAAUUGAAGGUUUCUGGAAUAUGUUUGCACUCUGGGGUUUAUUUAUUCAAUAAAUUGUUUAUUUUUCUAGCAGGAA